rnacentral:rRNA from 1 species
GACGAACGCUGGCGGCGUGCUUAACACAUGCAAGUCGAACGGAAAGGCCCUGCUUUUGUGGGGUGCUCGAGUGGCGAACGGGUGAGUAACACGUGAGUAACCUGCCCUUGACUUUGGGAUAACUUCAGGAAACUGGGGCUAACACCGGAUAGGAGCUCCUGCUGCAUGGUGGGGGUUGGAAAGUUUCGGCGGUUGGGGAUGGACUCGCGGCUUAUCAGCUUGUUGGUGGGGUAGUGGCUUACCAAGGCUUUGACGGGUAGCCGGCCUGAGAGGGUGACCGGCCACAUUGGGACUGAGAUACGGCCCAGAUUCCUACGGGAGGCAGCAGUGGGGAAUAUUGCACAAUGGGCGGAAGCCUGAUGCAGCAACGCCGCGUGCGGGAUGACGGCCUUCGGGUUGUAAACCGCUUUCGCCUGUGACGAAGCGUGAGUGGCGGUAAUGGGUAAAGAAGCACCGGCUAACUACGUG